AGCACUGAAUCCCGUCGUUGUCACGGCGGCGGGAGAUGUGGUGUUCGGGAGGUUCCGCUUUCUCGUCGUUGUCUUCUCCUGUCCAAGUUCGUCUUGAACGGGGCCGUUUUCCCGUAGAGGGUGCCAGGCCCGUAGCGACGGAGGACGGCGGCGAGAGGGACUCUCCUCAGAGUCGGGUUGCUUGAGAGUGCAGCCCUAAGUGGGUGGUAAACUCCAUCUAAGGCUAAAUAUUACCGCGAGACCGAUAGCGAACAAGUACCGU
rnacentral:rRNA from 1 species